GACGGAGGAUGCAAGUGUUAUCCGGAAUCACUGGGCGUAAAGCGUCUGUAGGUGGUUUAAAAAGUCCACUGUUAAAAAUUGAAGCUUAACUUCAAAGAUGCCGUGGAAACUUUUAAACUUGAGUAUGGUAGGGGUAGAGGGAAUUUCCAGUGGAGCGGUGAAAUGCGUAGAUAUCAUUUGGAACGCCAAUGGUGAAAACAGGUAGCUGGGAGUGUGCUGACACUGAGACACGAAAGCCAGGGGAGCGAACGGG
rnacentral:rRNA from 1 species